rnacentral:rRNA from 1 species
UACGAAGGGGGCUAGCGUUGUUCGGAUUUACUGGGCGUAAAGCGCACGUAGGCGGAUUGUUAAGUCAGGGGUGAAAUCCCGGAGCUCAACUCCGGAACUGCCCUUUGAUACUGGCAAUCUAGAGUCCGGAAGAGGGUGAGUGGAACUCCUAGUGUAGAGGUGGAAUUCGUAGAUAUUAGGAAGAACACCAGUGGCGAAGGCGGCUCACUGGUCCGGUACUGACGCUGAGGUGC